rnacentral:misc_RNA from 1 species
GGCGAAAGGCUGCGAUCGCAUCUGGAAACAGUAAGUAUAUAAAACGACCCCCAUGACCACUGGUCAGCAUCACUCGUCCACGAUCGCUUGCUCUAGUCAGUCAUCCUAGUGGUGGAACGGUCAACAUGAAGGAUUUAUUUGUGCUGGGUAUUGUACUGACAGUUUUCACCUGCAGUUUGGCGGAAGAAUCCAGCCAAAAUGACAUCCAGAAACGUAAUGACGUUGAGCAUAGUUUGCCAGCCUUCAGCAAUUACCCUUAUAUGCGACAGACCACGGUAAACCAUGAACCUCGUGUCGAAACAAUCAACAACAUGGCUCAUGGAUAUCAGCAACAGCUGUCCGACUGGGAAGUGCAAAAGGUUCAUGCUCAGGCCCACCGUUUUCAAGGAAGUCCGCAGUACCAGCAGUAUCAACAGCCUUGGAUUCCCCAGCCGGAUUAUAUCCAGCACAAUCACAUCAACCAGCAGCAGCAAAAUCAUCAUCAACUGCUUCGACAGCAACAACCAAUCAACAACAAUCACAUCAACCCUCUGCAACAAUUGCAGCAUUAUCAACAUCAAUACCAGCAACCGCCAGCUAUACUCUAUCAACCGGUUGUAACUCAGUACCAGAAACCUCAGCUGGUUCCAACCCACAAGGUUGUCUAUCCGGUUCCUGUUCAGAUGAGACCGCCACCGCCGCCACCGGCAGUCGCCAAGAAGGUUCAACCCCCAAUCUACGUGGAGAAGCAUAUCAUGUAUCACCAUGUCCCCAAGCCCGUAGCAGUUCCCAUCCAGCCGGUGCCGGUGAUGCAAGUGAUCAUCCGGGAGGACGGUAACCACAAAAAGAUGCCAUUCUGGGGUUAGUUUAGUGUUACUUGCGUCGCUGUCACUGGUGCAUGCCAAACCUUGAGAUUCAGCGCGAGUGCUUAACUGCUCCUUGGGUACCGAUUCAGCAGCAACGUUCUUCAAGCCGGUCCCCAAUCUUCCUCGCCGUAUAUUACAUUUCGCCGGCGAAUAUUUAUUGCCGACAUACACAUAUCUACAAUUUAUAUUUAUGAGACCGAGCAUAACGGGCAACGACUUGUUUACACCACGCGCAUUCAUACAUGCUGUUGAUAAGGGAAACACCAUUAGAUCGUUGAAGCGUAUGAUCGUUGAAUUGAUAGGAUAUUACGGUCCUGUUCAGCAACGGAGAAGGACAACCAUGGGUGGUCUCUCAUGCUCAUGCUCAUGCUCACAGGGUUACGGAAACUUUUUGCUUCGUUGAAUAUUUUAAAUUUUAUUUGUUAAAAAAAUACUUAAUUUCAUUAAAAAAUUGUUUUGAAGUAUUGCAGAAAGAGUUAAAUUUAGAAAACAAUAGCAAUACUCCGGCGUUCCGGAAGGAAAAGGAUCGCAACCGGAAGCCCGGCAGCCAGGUUGUGGCAGGUUAGAAAACGAGGGGUGGAGGGUUGUUGCCAUUGACGCUACACCCAUUGACGACCUAAUGAGAACACGUCGAGUGAUGUAGGCUUGCUGGUAAAGGCCUGCUCUCGAGUGAUGUGGGUUUCUGCAUCGGCAGGAAUGUUAAUUAGCUGAUUAUUACGCAAUGUCAAACACGAAGAGAUGGCUUGUGAACAAUACUCUUGAAGUUAUAUAUAGACGAGCACUUUGAUUCCAGGUAGUUCGAGGGAAGAGAUUUUUUUUAAGCUGUCAGUAAAUGAUUGACACUUUAUCUUUCGAUUGAUGUUCUUUGUUAAAUAUAUAUCUAAAUAUAGAAUUCAGUGCAAAAUUCAAGAAAUUGUUUCAAAUUAAUUUUCAAGACUACAUAGAAGCUGCAUCCCGACCUACGCUUCAUACUUUGUUAACCUCGUUGACACCAUUCAUUUGUUGUUUAUUUGCGACUGCCGCGCCACUAACUAACUAGC